rnacentral:rRNA from 1 species
GACGAACGCUGGCGGCGUGCUUAACACAUGCAAGUCGAACGGAAAGGCCCUGCUUUUGUGGGGUGCUCGAGUGGCGAACGGGUGAGUAACACGUGAGUAACCUGCCCUUGACUUUGGGAUAACUUCAGGAAACUGGGGCUAAUACCGGAUAGGAGCUCCUGCUGCAUGGUGGGGGUUGGAAAGUUUCGGCGGUUGGGGAUGGACUCGCGGCUUAUCAGCUUGUUGGUGGGGUAGUGGCUUACCAAGGCUUUGACGGGUAGUCGGCCUGAGAGGGUGACCGGCCACAUUGGGACCGAGAUACGGCCCAGACUCCUACGGGAGGCAGCAGUGGGGAAUAUUGCACAAUGGGCGGAAGCCUGAUGCAGCAACGCCGCGUGCGGGAUGACGGCCUUCGGGUUGUAAACCGCUUUCGCCUGUGACGAAGCGUGAGUGACGGUAAUGGGUAAAGAAGCACCGGCUAACUACGUG